CUGCACUUGCUCCAUUCUAUUUUUGGCCACUUCCCCACAACACUUUCAUGAGUCCCAUUGUACAAAUAUGUUUUGUCUUCUGUUUUGGUUUAUUACUUCAUCCAAAUUGAACUCAUCUUCAUAUACAUGGAAUCCGUUCAUGAUCUUUAUGUACAAAACUAAAUUACAACUAUCCAAAUGUCAUCAUAUAUAUAUUAUUGCUUGCAAAAACAAAACUUAUAACCCUUCACAAAUUGUAUAUGAGCUCAUCGGUCUCAGGCAUGACACAUUUCAUCAGUUAUACUUACCCUUCUUCUCAAGGCUUACAAUGUUUGGUACUAGAUGUACACCUCCACUAUCCAUAUGUAUACUUUCCUAAGCUAUGUAUUCGUCACUUGCACACCAACUUAUUUGUAUUCUUCUUUUCUUUUUUCUUAAUUUUUAAUCUAUAUUUGUAGUUUUUUUAUUUUAUUUUUUAUAAUCAAAAUAUAUUCAAUGAGAAUUUAAGGAGUACUCCAAAUCAUAUACAAUACUAACUUAUUUGCGCUGAA
rnacentral:lncRNA from 1 species